rnacentral:rRNA from 1 species
GACGAACGCUGGCGGCGUGCUUAACACAUGCAAGUCGAACGGAAAGGCCCUGCUUUUGUGGGGUGCUCGAGUGGCGAACGGGUGAGUAACACGUGAGUAACCUGCCCUUGACUUUGGGAUAACUUCAGGAAACUGGGGCUAAUACCGGAUAGGAGCUCCUGCUGCAUGGUGGGGGUUGGAAAGUUUCGGCGGUUGGGGAUGGACGCGCGGCUUAUCAGCUUGUUGGUGGGGUAGUGGCUUACCAAGGCUUUGACGGGUAGCCGGCCUGAGAGGGUGACCGGCCACAUUGGGACUGAGAUACGGCCCAGACUCCUACGGGAGGCAGCAGGGGGGAAUAUUGCACAAUGGGCGGAAGCCUGAUGCAGCAACGCCGCGUGCGGGAUGACGGCCUGCGGGUUGUAAACCGCUUACGCCUGUGACGAAGCGUGAGUGACGGUAAUGGGUAAAGAAGCACCGGCUAACUACGUG